AAGUCGAACGCGUUGGCCCAAUUGAUUGAUGGUGCUUGCACCUGAUUGAUUUUGGUCGCCAACGAGUGGCGGACGGGUGAGUAACACGUAGGUAACCUGCCCAGAAGCGGGGGACAACAUUUGGAAACAGAUGCUAAUACCGCAUAACAGCGUUGUUCGCAUGAACAACGCUUAAAAGAUGGCUUCUCGCUAUCACUUCUGGAUGGACCUGCGGUGCAUUAGCUUGUUGGUGGGGUAACGGCCUACCAAGGCGAUGAUGCAUAGCCGAGUUGAGAGACUGAUCGGCCACAAUGGGACUGAGACACGGCCCAUACUCCUACGGGAGGCAGCAGUAGGGAAUCUUCCACAAUGGGCGCAAGCCUGAUGGAGCAACACCGCGUGAGUGAAGAAGGGUUUCGGCUCGUAAAGCUCUGUUGUUAAAGAAGAACACGUAUGAGAGUAACUGUUCAUACGUUGACGGUAUUUAACCAGAAAGUCACGGCUAACUACGUGCCAGCAGCCGCGGUAAUACGUAGGUGGCAAGCGUUAUCCGGAUUUAUUGGGCGUAAAGAGAGUGCAGGCGGUUUUCUAAGUCUGAUGUGAAAGCCUUCGGCUUAACCGGAGAAGUGCAUCGGAAACUGGAUAACUUGAGUGCAGAAGAGGGUAGUGGAACUCCAUGUGUAGCGGUGGAAUGCGUAGAUAUAUGGAAGAACACCAGUGGCGAAGGCGGCUACCUGGUCUGCAACUGACGCUGAGACUCGAAAGCAUGGGUAGCGAACAGGAUUAGAUACCCUGGUAGUCCAUGCCGUAAACGAUGAGUGCUAGGUGUUGGAGGGUUUCCGCCCUUCAGUGCCGGAGCUAACGCAUUAAGCACUCCGCCUGGGGAGUACGACCGCAAGGUUGAAACUCAAAGGAAUUGACGGGGGCCCGCACAAGCGGUGGAGCAUGUGGUUUAAUUCGAAGCUACGCGAAGAACCUUACCAGGUCUUGACAUCUUGCGCCAACCCUAGAGAUAGGGCGUUUCCUUCGGGAACGCAAUGACAGGUGGUGCAUGGUCGUCGUCAGCUCGUGUCGUGAGAUGUUGGGUUAAGUCCCGCAACGAGCGCAACCCUUGUUACUAGUUGCCAGCAUUAAGUUGGGCACUCUAGUGAGACUGCCGGUGACAAACCGGAGGAAGGUGGGGACGACGUCAGAUCAUCAUGCCCCUUAUGACCUGGGCUACACACGUGCUACAAUGGACGGUACAACGAGUCGCGAACUCGCGAGGGCAAGCAAAUCUCUUAAAACCGUUCUCAGUUCGGACUGCAGGCUGCAACUCGCCUGCACGAAGUCGGAAUCGCUAGUAAUCGCGGAUCAGCAUGCCGCGGUGAAUACGUUCCCGGGCCUUGUACACACCGCCCGUCACACCAUGAGAGUUUGUAACACCCAAAGUCGGUGGGGUAACCUUUUAGGAGCCAGCCGCCU
rnacentral:rRNA from 1 species